UGGUGAUAACGACGACAGAGAAUAUUUCACUAUAAACUUGGCACCGGGUCCAUCCCGUUUGGAGGUCUGACGACCACCGCGAUGUCGUUCGGCUUUCAACAUUUCUCUAGUUUACGGUCCGCUUAUAUAUAUAUUUAAAUAAACGUUUUUUUUUUUUUAAUCAAUCAUACACCUGCCGCCAUAUUCGGUUUGCAUUAUUAAUAUUAUUAAUGUCACGUCGUCGGCCCGAGAAAUUCGUGUCCGAGCCGAGCUUUGUGCGUCGAAAAUCGACGUUAUUAUGAUUUUGGAUUCGUCACGAGUCGUUUCA